UGAGCAACUGCCUGCUCCAGGCAAUGAUGGCUCGUUUGGCAGGAGGAGGGGGUAUGCAGCCAGAGGGAGUGUAGGGGGAGACCACGAGGUGGAGAGAGAUCUUGCAGUCUCCCCCAUCCCCUUGCCCCUGUGUCUGUGCUUCCCCCACUCUGUUUCCCUCUGAAGCCUGCCUCCUCCCCCCUUACCUUCAGCUCCAGCUCCAAUCCCUCCAGCCACUCUCCCUGGCUGGGCUGCACUUGGCUGGGCACAGGCUGCAGAGCUACAGCAAAAACGGGAGCCAGUGAUCCUCUCUGCUGCUGCAGCCCAGUCUUGCAGCCUGCGUGGAGCGGGGAAAGCACCAACUGGUGGGGAUGGCACAAAGAGCAGCAGACAAGAUGAUGGCCACUCUCUCAUCCUUCCUCCACCCUGCUGGGGCAUCUGCGCCAGUCAGCACCAAGGAGCACAGCUGCACAAAGAACAACCAACAGAUGAGAUGGUAGCCACCUUUUGUCCGUCCUUCCCCUGCUGGGGCCUUUUCCCCAGUCAGCGAUGAGGGGCAGGACUGCCAGACUGCAUCCAGGAAAUAUCCAUUGAAUUUGCUAUUAAUGUCACAGCCAACCAGCAAAAAUUGUUUAGCUUCUCUGUGAUUUAAGUAGACCUCUAAUAAUAAGGAUCAUUCUUUGAGAGCUUCACUCCAGCAUGUAACAUCACUGCAAUCAAGACAACAAUAAACAUUACAAAAUGGACUGAUUUCUAUCAGCUUUUAAAAAAUGGCUUGAUGAUCACAUGCUAAUUGUGUGGACCUGUUACUGUGAAUGACAAAUAGUAGUUUCCAAAAGGACAUUCUAGAAAAUGGCUUUUUAAGCGUUAAUUGUGCUCAUCAUCUUCAAAACCUCCAUUCGAUGAAGGAUUAGAAAAUAUAUUCUUAAUACCAUGGUAGUUUAUUGUCUAAGGAAUAAAUAGAGCAUAUAAGAGUGAGAGGCAUACUUUAGUGUCUAUAGUGGCUCUAUGAUGACUGAAAGAACUGAAGAAAGUUAACUGCUUGUAAACAGAGAAGAAAUUAGAAGGAGAAAAUGAGGUGCUCCAUAUGACAAGCUCUCACACUAUCUGGGCAAUUUUAGAAGUUGUUUUACUUAUGCAAUUAGUCUUUCUUCAGUAUAAAAACUUGUUGGAUUUACUUCAGAUUUACAUCUGUGUAAUUGAGUUAGAACUAAAUCACAACAUAUACAGUUUAGCAUAUUAAAGUAUGUGUGAAAUGGUU